rnacentral:rRNA from 1 species
AUUGAACGCUGGCGGCAGGCCUAACACAUGCAAGUCGAGCGGAUGAAGGGAGCUUGCUCCUGGAUUCAGCGGCGGACGGGUGAGUAAUGCCUAGGAAUCUGCCUGGUAGUGGGGGAUAACGUCCGGAAACGGGCGCUAAUACCGCAUACGUCCUGAGGGAGAAAGUGGGGGAUCUUCGGACCUCACGCUAUCAGAUGAGCCUAGGUCGGAUUAGCUAGUUGGUGGGGUAAAGGCCUACCAAGGCGACGAUCCGUAACUGGUCUGAGAGGAUGAUCAGUCACACUGGAACUGAGACACGGUCCAGACUCCUACGGGAGGCAGCAGUGGGGAAUAUUGGACAAUGGGCGAAAGCCUGAUCCAGCCAUGCCGCGUGUGUGAUGAAGGUCUUCGGAUUUUAAAGCACUUUAAGUUGGGAGGAAGGGCAGUAAGUUAAUACCUUGCUGUUUUGACGUUACCAACAGAAUAAGCACCGGCUAACUUCGUG